AAUAGAUACCCUGGUAGUCCUAGCCAUCAACGAUGGAUACUGGAUAUUCCUGCACUCAUGUGGGAGUGUCGAAGCCAACGCGUUAAGUAUCCCGCCUGGGGAGUACGGUCGCAAGAUUGAAACUCAAAGGAAUUGACGGGGGCCCGCACAAGCGGUGGAGCAUGUGGUUUAAUUCGACGCAACGCGAAGAACCUUACCUGGGCUUGAACUGUCGGUAUAGGGACCCGAAAGGGCGACGAUCCCGGGCAACCGGGAAGCCGAUAGAGGUGCUGCAUGGCUGUCGUCAGCUCGUGUCGUGAGAUGUUGGGUUAAGUCCCGCAACGAGCGCAACCCUUGUCUUUAGUUGCCAGCGAGUCAUGUCGGGCACUCUAAGGAGACUGCCUCGGAUAACGAGGAGGAAGGUGGGGAUGACGUCAAGUCAGCAUGGCCUUUAUGUCCAGGGCUACACACGUGCUACAAUGGGCGGCACAGAAGGACGCGGAGACCGCGAGGUCAAGCCAACCCUUAAAAACCGUUCUCAGUUCGGAUUGC
rnacentral:rRNA from 1 species